CUGGGCACCCAGGCUGCGCUGAGACCUUCCUGCAGUGGACAGGAAGAAGUGUGUCACUUCCUCUCUACAGAUCUACCGUGCCCACCUCCCGGUCCAACCAACAGAGAAACAGGAGGACAGAGCAGUGGAUGGAAGGGAGUGUCUGUCGUACUUUUACUGCCCCCCAUUAUCAGCCCCACCACCACCACCACCACCACCACCACCCUCCACAGACACAGCCAGAGAGAGAACAGAACCCUCUUUGAUUCCAGUAGAUUUGGGUAAGUAGCUCAUGAAUCUAGGGUUUCCUCCCUGAGACAAACACACGCUAUAUCCUUUGUAAAAAAAAAAAAAAUCUAACACACUAUAACAGAUGGAUGAUGUGGAGAGCUUUAAACAAAAGUAUAUUUUGAGCAGAUCACAAUCUAGCUGAGCUGCUUGAACAGAGACACGUUUAUAAAUACUGCGUCCAUGUAUCAGCUCCGCUACUUUUUAGUUAGUGUUCUUACAUAACUCACUGUGGAUGUGUGGAGGAGGCAGAGUGCAGCUUCCAAGCACCGACGCUGCCCACAGACACACACGGACUGUUGUGUUUCGUCAGAUAGUGGAGAGGACUUUUAAUUUCCUAUGUACAGUACAUGAAACGAUUCCUGUAGGUUUAUAUAUAUAAAUCUUUCAAUCAUAAAAUAUAACAUAAAUAAAACAUCUGAUUUCUAAGAGUUAAUUAAAACUGGGGUUGUUAUAAAAAUCCAAAUUUCAUUGGAGGGAGGGGGGACAGGGAGCUCCAUGCUCCUGGUCCGCCCCCAAGUUGCAGCACGAGCCACUUAGCGCUAAGAGCAGCUGUAAGCGCGCGGGCGCGCGUCUACGUGUACGUGUGCGUGCCUUCUCCUGUCACGCGGAGACAGCCAAUGCCAAACACACAGCAUCGGCUGAGGGGGAGCUGCAGCAGCAGCAGCAGCGAUAUUAAUUUGGACUGUUUUUUUUUUUUACCACGCACGGACGCCGCGCGCUCCAGUUUUAGCCGCGCCAACAUUUACGCGCAGCAGAGUCCGUGUGUAAACGCGCCUCUCGUCAACGUCGUUGCGUUUUUUAUCGUCUCCGGUUCUGUUUGCCUGUGUCUGUGACUGAGCUACGCACACCGGAGUCCACUGUUGUUUUAAUGCGCAGCUGCACAGGCAGAGGGAGCAGUCGGCUGUCCGUGUCACCGAUGAACAGCUCCAGAGAACAGGAACCUUCAUCUCCGCCGUCACAAUAACCCGCACGUCACGUUCUCUCAUCUGGAGCGGCCCAGCAGCACCCGGUCGGAGCUUCAUCCUCUCGGGGAUACCCGAGUGCAUCCCUCCAUCCUCCCGUCAUCUGCCGUGUUGCGUCCACCCCCCAGCCCCCCACACUUCGUGAAGGAUCUAUAGGAUCUAGUCAGGGAGCAGGGGUUAGGAGGAGGAGGAGGAGGAGGAGAAGGAGAAGGAGGUGGUGGCUGUGGCUGUUCGUGGCCGCGGCAGUCGCACCCUCUGCGUGGUGAGGCAGGGCUGAAGCGCCGCUGUGUCGGAGGAUGCUGCAGGAGUAGAGCGGCUCAGAGCGGACGAUGGGGAAGGACCAGGAACUGCUGCAGGCGGUGAAGACCGAGGACCUGCUCACGGUGCAGAAGCUGCUGCAGAGGCCUCGGCCAGGGAAAGCAAAGCUCCUCGGUUCAGCCAAGAAGGUGAACGUCAACUUCCAAGACACAGAUGGGUGAGUACAUGUCUCUAACUUUUAUCAUCCUCCACAUUUUUCACCAUAACUUCCCCCUAAAGUCGUUGACCAAAUUGAGCAAAAACAACAUGAAAAGUUCACAUUUUGACAGAAUUUUUAUAGAAAUAAAUUUCUAAAAAUGUUUUCUAAAUGCCUU